rnacentral:misc_RNA from 1 species
AGCAGCCGCGGUAAUUCCAGCUCCAAUAGCGUAUAUUAAAGUUGUUGCAGUUAAAAGCGUCGUAGUUGAACUUCGGGGGUUUACUCGAUUGGUCAGGCUUAAUUGUCUGUGCUGGUGAGAUGAAUCUCUACCUUCUGAGGAACUUUCAUGCCAUUUAUUUGGUGUGGUUGGAAAUCAGGACUGUUUACUUUAGAAAAAUUAGAGUGUUUAAAGCAGGCUAACGUCUGAAUACAUUAGCAUGGAAUAAUGAAAUAGGACGGAUUGAUUCUAUUUCGUUGGUUUCUAGGGUCACCGUAAUGAUUAAUAGGGAUAGUUGGGGGCAUUAGUAUUCAAUU